AUUGAACGCUGGCGGUAUGCUUAACACAUGCAAGUCGAACGGUGAGAAAGAGCUUGCUCUUUCGAUUAGUGGCGGACGGGUGCGUAACGCGUAGGAAUCUACCUAUUAGUGGGGGACAACUUAGGGAAACUUAAGCUAAUACCGCAUACGCCCUACGGGGGAAAGAAGGGGAUCGCAAGACCUUUUGCUAAUAGAUGAGCCUGCGUAGGAUUAGCUAGUUGGUGGGGUAAAAGCUCACCAAGGCGACGAUCCUUAACUGGUUUGAGAGAAUGAUCAGUCACACUGGAACUGAGACACGGUCCAGACUCCUACGGGAGGCAGCAGUGGGGAAUAUUGGACAAUGGGCGAAAGCCUGAUCCAGCAAUACCGCGUGUGUGAAGAAGGCCUUAGGGUUGCAAAGCACUUUCAAUUGGAAGGAAAACCUCGAAGCUAAUACCUUCGAGUUUGACAUUACCUUUAGAAGAAGCACCGGCUAACUCCGUGCCAGCCGCCGCAGUAA
rnacentral:rRNA from 1 species